CAGCACCUCAAGUGGUCAGGAUGAUUAUUGGGCCUAAAGCAUCCGUAGCCGGCUCUGUAAGUUUUCGGUUAAAUCUGUACGCUCAACGUACAGGCUGCCGGGAAUACUGCAGAGCUAGGGAGUGGGAGAGGUAGACGGUACUCGGUAGGAAGGGGUAAAAUCCUUUGAUCUAUUGAUGACCACCUGUGGCGAAGGCGGUCUACCAGAACACGUCCGACGGUGAGGGAUGAAAGCUGGGGGAGCAAACCGGAUUAGAGACCCGGGUAGUCC
rnacentral:rRNA from 1 species